CCCAGACUCCUACGGGAGGCAGCAGUGGGGAAUAUUGCACAAUGGGGGAAACCCUGAUGCAGCGACGCCGCGUGGGCGAGGAAGUACCUCGGUAUGUAAAGCCCUAUCAGCAGGGAAGAAACAGGACGGUACCUGACUAAGAAGCCCCGGCUAAAUACGUGCCAGCAGCCGCGGUAAUACGUAUGGGGCAAGCGUUAUCCGGAUUUACUGGGUGUAAAGGGAGCGUAGGCGGCCUGGCAAGCCUGAUGUGAAAUACCGGGGCCCAACCCCGGGGCUGCAUUGGGAACUGCCAGGCUGGAGUGCCGGAGAGGCAGGCGGAAUUCCUAGUGUAGCGGUGAAAUGCGUAGAUAUUAGGAGGAACACCAGUGGCGAAGGCGGCCUGCUGGACGGUGACUGACGCUGAGGCUCGAAAGCGUGGGGAGCAAACAGGAUUAGAUACCCCGGUAA
rnacentral:rRNA from 1 species